rnacentral:rRNA from 1 species
CAGCAGCCGCGGGAAUACAGAGGGUGCGAGCGUUAAUCGGAUUUACUGGGCGUAAAGGGCGCGUAGGCGGUUUAGUGAGUGUGAUGUGAAAGCCCCGGGCUUAACCUGGGAAGUGCAUCGCAAACGACUAAACUGGAGUAUAAGAGAGGGUGGCGGAAUUUCCGGUGUAGCGGUGAAAUGCGUAGAGAUCGGAAGGAACGUCAAUGGCGAAGGCAGCCACCUGGCUUAAUACUGACGCUGAGGCGCGAAAGCGUGGGGAUCAAACAGGAUUAGAUACCCGCGUAGUCCCUGUCUCUUAUAU